AUGGCAAUUGGGCUUGUGCUAUCAACUAUUGGGAUGGGAGCAGCAGCACUCUGUGAGAGGAAGAGGUUAGCAGUGGCUAAAGCCAAUGGUGGACCAAAUCCUCUGCAUAUUAGUGUUUUCUUCUUGCUCCCAAGUUCAUUCUGGUGGGUUCUGCUAAUGCUUAUACACCGGCCAGCUUGAUUUCUUCAUAACCGAAUCGCCUAAAGGAAUGAAAACUAUGAGCACAGGCCUCUUCGCCAGCACAUUGUCCUUUGGUUUCUUCUUUAGCAUCCUCUUGGUAUCGAUUGUGAAUAAGGUGACAGGAGGCAAAGAUGGAUAG
rnacentral:lncRNA from 1 species